UACGUAGGGUCCGAGCGUUGUCCGGAAUUAUUGGGCGUAAAGGGCUCGUAGGCGGUCUGUUGCGUCGGGAGUGAAAACUUACAGCUUAACUGUGAGCGUGCUUUCGAUACGGGCAGACUUGAGGCAUUCAGGGGAGAACGGAAUUCCUGGUGUAGCGGUGAAAUGCGCAGAUAUCAGGAGGAACACCGGUGGCGAAGGCGGUUCUCUAGGAAUGUCCUGACGCUGAGGAGCGAAAGUGUGGGGAGCGAACAGG
rnacentral:rRNA from 1 species